AUUGAACGCUGGCGGCAGGCCUAACACAUGCAAGUCGAACGGUAACAGGAAGAAGCUUGCUUCUUUGCUGACGAGUGGCGGACGGGUGAGUAAUGUCUGGGAAACUGCCUGAUGGAGGGGGAUAACUACUGGAAACGGUAGCUAAUACCGCAUAAUGUCGCAAGACCAAAGAGGGGGACCUUCGGGCCUCUUGCCAUCGGAUGUGCCCAGAUGGGAUUAGCUAGUAGGUGGGGUAACGGCUCACCUAGGCGACGAUCCCUAGCUGGUCUGAGAGGAUGACCAGCCACACUGGAACUGAGACACGGUCCAGACUCCGACGGGAGGCAGCAGUGGGGAAUAUUGCACAAUGGGCGCAAGCCUGAUGCAGCUAUGCCGCGUGUAUGAAGAAGGCCUUCGGGUUGUAAAGUACUUUCAGCGGGGAGGAAGGGAGUAAAGUUAAUACCUUUGCUCAUUGACGUUACCCGCAGAAGAAGCACCGGCUAACUCCGUG
rnacentral:rRNA from 1 species